UAGUGUUGUUACUACGAGAGAGAAAUGAGAGACACACUCAAACCUGAGAGAGCUACAGCAGUGUUGUUACUACGAGAGAGAAAUGAGAGACACACUCAAACCUGAGAGAGCUACAGUAGUGUUGUUACUACGAGAGAGAAAUGAGAGACACACUCAAACCUGAGAGAGCUACAGCAGUGUUGUUACUACGAGAGAGAAAUGAGAGACACACUCAAACCUGAGAGAGCUACAGCAGUGUUGUUACUACGAGAGAGAAAUGAGAGACACUCAAACCUGAGAGAGCUACAGCAGUGUUGUUACUACGAGAGAGAAAUGAGACACUCAAACCUGAGAGAGCUACAGUAGUGUUGUUACUACGAGAGAGAAAUGAGACACACUCAAACCUGAGAGAGCUACAGUAGUGUUGUUACUACGAGAGAGAAAUGAGACACACUAAAACCUGAGAGAGCUACAGUAGUGUUGUUACUACGAGAGAGAAAUGAGACACACUCAAACCUGAGAGAGCUACAGUAGUGUUGUUACUACGAGAGAGAAAUGAGAGACACACUAAAACCUGAGAGAGCUACAGUAGUGUUGUUACUACGAGAGAGAAAUGAGACACACUCAAACCUGAGAGAGCUACAGCAGUGUUGUUACUACGAGAGAGAAAUGAGAGACACUCAAACCUGAGAGAGCUACAGCAGUGUUGUUACUACGAGAGAGAAAUGAGACACUCAAACCUGAGAGAGCUACAGUAGUGUUGUUACUACGAGAGAGAAAUGAGACACACUCAAACCUGAGAGAGCUACAGUAGUGUUGUUACUACGAGAGAGAAAUGAGACACACUCAAACCUGAGAGAGCUACAGUAGUGUUGUUACUACGAGAGAGAAAUGAGAGACACACUCAAACCUGAGAGAGCUACAGUAGUGUUGUUACUACGAGAGAGAAAUGAGAGACACACUCAAACCUGAGAGAGCUACAGUAGUGUUGUUACUACGAGAGAGAAAUGAGAGACACACUCAAACCUGAGAGAGCUACAGCAGUGUUGUUACUACGAGAGAGAAAUGAGAGACACUCAAGGAGCUCAGAUGCUCAGAUCCUUUAAUAACCAUUUACACAGACGAGCUCUUCAUCACCCUUUUCCAGGUGUUCUACUCCCCUAGCCAGCACCUCUCCUAAACAGGUGUUCUACUCCCCUAGCCAGCACCUCUCCUAAACAGGUGUUCUACUCCCCUAGCCAGCACCUCUCCUAAACAGGUGUUCUACUCUGCUAGCCAGCACCUCUCCUAAACAGGUGUUCUCCUCCCCUAGCCAGCACCUCUCCUAAACAGGUGUUCUACUCUGCUAGCCAGCACCUCUCCUAAACAGGUGUUCUACUCCCCUAGCCAGCACCUCUCCUAAACAGGUGUUCUACUCUGCCAGCCAGCACCUCUCCUAAACAGGUGUUCUACUCCCCUAGCCAGCACCUCUCCUAAACAGGUGUUCUCCUCCCCUAGCCAGCACCUCUCCUAAACAGGUGUUCUCCUCCCCUAGCCAGCACCUCUCCUAAACAGGUGUGUUUAUUUCGCCUCCAGGCUAAUACAAGAGGAACCACAUAUGGAAAAGAGGGGAAGGGUUUGUUGGUCGUAC